rnacentral:tRNA from 1 species
GCCCGGCUAGCUCAGUUGGUAGAGCAUUCGACUCUUACAGGGUUCCACUUCCUUCCAAGGAAGCGAUAUCGAAUUGUUGUGGGUUCGAGCCCCACGUUGGGCG